ensembl:lncRNA novel transcript, antisense to ARNT2
GAGCAGUGAGGAGUGAAGGCCCACUUCUCUCCACAAAGGGUAGACUGAGGUUAUUCCAUGGCACAGUAUAAGGCCCUGAAUAUACAGAAAGGAAAGAUGGAGCCCAUCGAGAAGGGAGAAGAAGGACCAGCAAACAGCCAGGACAAGCUGUGUGAAAAGUGACACAGCAGGUAAAUCCAGAGAGCUCUGGGAACCAGAGGUGCCAAACAGCACAAACCAGGAGAGACCAUCAGUGGGACGGAUGCAGAAGGCUCUGGAGGAGGCAAUAAGUUCGUGGAUUCUAAACACUGUUUAACCAGGAAGUAACAGACAAGGUAGGAGGAACUCCCCGAGGUCAGGAAGCAGUGUCUAUUCAUUUGUCGUAUGGAAUCACCACACCCUUCAGUGAUGGCCAUGCUUUCCUUGUCGCCUUCUUUGAGAUUGAGUGGGCCCCACAGAACGGCGUUCCCAGAAGCCUUGGUGACUGCUCAGAUCCCAGCUGCUUUACCUGCCAGCAUCCUGAAACUCAGUAAGAUCAGAGUCCAGACCUCGUAAGAUGUUGA